GUGUGUCAAAGCUGCCUGCAUUAUCCUGGCGACCAUGUAGUGCCAGUAUAGGUUGGACCUCACUAGGCCCCCACCAUUUGCCUACAGGGCACAGAUCUUGCUUUCAUUAGCUUGUAGAAAAAUUAAUUAAAUGAGAAGAGAAGAAUUUAUAUUUUCUUCAAAAAUGCAACAAAGUUACAGCUGAGUUAAUAAGCUUUUUUUUAUCCAUCAAUCGAGAACAUAAUGAUAGUAUGUUUUUACAACAUAUGCAGUUAUACAACGAUACUUUACAUUAUGUAAAAUAUUCUCUUGAAUAAUCACCGUGCUGUUUUAUAUCAAGAGCUUUGAUAUUUGUAUCAAAUAUAUAUUACUCAUACAUAUUAUUCACAGUCAGCCUUUUUUUUAAUUUAUUUGAUUAAGAUUUAUGAUAUAAUUAUAUGUAUUAGAUAGUCAAAAAAGUUCUAUUGGUUUUUUAUGACAGAAAAAAACAUAAAAAAAAAAUCAAUUUAUUAAUAGUUAUUCUCACAUAUAUUACUUGUUUCAAUGAAAAACAAGCUUAUUAAUUCUGUUUUUGUAAACAGUAUUGUAAAAAAUAACUAAUCUAAAGACGGAAUUCAUAGAUCUUAUCUUAUUCAAGAUUCAUUUUAAGUACGAUCUUGAAACGUCAAUACCAUUAUUUCAUUGGUUAAGUAAAGUCUUAAUUCUGCUCGUGGCUAGACUUAAGACAAUCUUGAACUUAAGAUCGAUCUAUGAAUAAUAUAUAAUAAUAUUCAGAUAAGAAUUUCUUAUGCAUCCUUAUUUGCAUGAUGUUAUCCUUGGAAUUAUUAACAAUUUCUAAGCUUGCAGAAUCAACAGUUCAGAAACAAAGAAAUUGUCAAAAAGAUGAACUUGGAAAACAGAGAUUAUAACUUUUACAAAGAACGUAUUAAUAUUUACAAGUUUGUUUCUCAGAAUAAAAUUGAAAUUAAUUUGA